CCUCGCAGCAGCGAGCCUCACAACGUCCUGCCGAGUGUGUGUGUGUGAGGAAGUCCACGGAUUGGUCCAAACCUAACGGCUCCGCAGACGUAACCUAACGGCUCCGCAGAGCCAUUGGGUUACGUCACUAUUCCCAAAAUACGUCACUAUACCCAAGAAGUAAACAAUGGGGCAGCACAGACAGGUCUUCUCUGUGUUAGAGUGUUACUCCCUACAGGGUGUACUCUGAGGGGUUGAGACUCUGCGGAGCGUUCACAUGCAGAAGCUACAGAACACAAGGGGACGGGUCAGAACCAGAGAAGCAUGACAUGGGACCUUUAACUGUUCUGUACUCAUAAAUCUCUUCAUCAGGUCUCGUCGACCCCUCAAAGCUCUUUAAAGACUACGAGAAUAUGUUUGUCUGUAUACUGACAAAACCAGACUUUGAGGCUCUGGGAGGAUCUCAACAUACUUUUAGGACAAACCAAAACAUUUAGUGAAUGCAAGAUAAAAAGCAAACGGCUUCAUGAGAAGUUUCCUAAAGCAAUUUAAAUCUGUAUUUUCUGAGCAUUUAACCAAAAACGUCUUUUCUAUUCUCACAUUCAAAUACCAAAGAUAUAGUUCGGGAGGAAAGGAAAUCCCGUUUGUAUUUUUGCCAACAACGGUCUAAGAAAUAUCAGAUUCAGCUUUUAAACGCCAAUCCUAAAUGUGUAAUAUGUCUCGUAUGUCUCAAAUAUGGUGAUUUGUUUCUGUUCACAUCAGAUUCAAGUGAAUGUUUUUGAGUCUAUACUGACAACACCAGACCUUUGAGGCACUGGGAUUCACGAUUUCUAUAUUUUCUGACAUAUUUUUAGACAAAACCAAAUCAUUUAGCAACUUAAAUCUGUAUUUUCUGAGCGUUUAACCAAAACCUACUUCUAUUCUCACGUUUAAAUACGAAUGUGAAUAUUUCCUCUCUCUCCUGCAGAGGUAUUGCCAAACUCUCCGCCUGGAUUCGGGGAUAGAUUACCGCCGGAGGAACCGACCGUCCGCUGGAAAACUCUACUUCCUCUCCAGUGAGCCGGACGUCCAGGCGACUUUAGACAAGAAGUUUGAUGAGAUGGCUUUCAAACA